UAAUGGACGUGAAUUGACAAUGGCUUC
rnacentral:sRNA from 1 species